rnacentral:rRNA from 1 species
GACGAACGCUGGCGGCGUGCUUAACACAUGCAAGUCGUACGGUAAGGCCCUUUCGGGGGUACACGAGUGGCGAACGGGUGAGUAACACGUGAGUAACCUGCCCACAACUUUGGGAUAACGCUAGGAAACUGGUGCUAAUACUGGAUAUGUGCUCCUGCUGCAUGGUGGGGGUUGGAAAGCUCCGGCGGUUGUGGAUGGACUCGCGGCCUAUCAGCUUGUUGGUGGGGUAGUGGCCUACCAAGGCGGCGACGGGUAGCCGGCCUGAGAGGGUGACCGGCCACAUUGGGACUGAGAUACGGCCCAGACUCCUACGGGACGCAGCAGUGGGGAAUAUUGCACAAUGGGCGCAAGCCUGAUGCAGCAACGCCGCGUGCGGGAUGACGGCCUUCGGGUUGUAAACCGCUUUCAGCAGGGACGAAGCUUUUUGUGACGGUACCUGCAGAAGAAGCACCGGCUAACUACGUG